ACUGCAAUCUCCACUUCUGAGAUUCAGGCCAUCCUCCCUAGGGACUAGAGACCUGAACUAGUUAUUUGCUACUUCCCUCCUGGAAUGGCUAGUAAAAUAAACACUAAAGCUUUGCAGUCCCCUAAAAGACCAUGAAGCCCUGAGAGUAAUGUAAAGAUUCCUGAAAUUGAGAUC